AAAUUUCUUGCUUAAUAAACACAGAGACCACAUUUUGAAACAAAAAUGGCACGCCAACUUGUUGUUCUUGCUUUGGUUUUGAUUGUCUUUGCCGGCGUGGUUUUCGCCGACGCCUCAUCCGCCGGUGGCAGCCCUGCAAGUGCACCAGCUGGAGCUUCUACAGGUGGCACUGAUGCUAGUUCCUCCCCUACUUCUCAGCCUACCACUCCAAGUCUUAGCGGUGAUAUACCUAUUGAUGAUCCAUAAAAUGAUUGUCAAGAAAAUGCCGACAAAACAUUAAACAAAUUGCCAUUUAAAAACAUGGUGGGAUUUUUGAAAAUAAAUAAUUAGUUCUAUAAAUAGAAUGUUAUGAUUUUCAUUAAUUUUAUGAAUUGUUUUUCAUAUAUAUAUUUUCACUAACAACAUUAUACUCUUAACAAAUCUACUAAAACGAGUAGAUUAGUGAACUGUGUUUUCUUUUGUGAAUUAUGAAAGGAUGGUAAAACCCUAACAAUAACACGACUAGCGCGAUUUGAAUACAGGCCAUAUAUAGUGUGGCGAAUACCUUAACCAUAAGUCAACACACUUAAUUCAGUGAACUAUGUUUUAAGUACUAACUAUAAUAAUAGUUAAAGCAUUAAUUGAGUAAACAAAGAAAGAAGCCAUCAGUGGUUGAGAAUGGCGGUUGGAAUUUGGUAUUUGCAAUGCUCCCAUUAUGUAGUAAUUUUUAUUUUAAGAAAAAAAAGACAUAAAUAACGGCAUCUGACCAAACUACUAAGAAAUAAUAAAGAAUAUAUCACUACCAAACUUUAAAUAAUGUUGAUCUUCUCACCCCAGCAGUAGCCAAUGUUGUAGCCAUACCAUUAUCUUUCAUAUAAACCAAUGUGAAUUUAACACAAACCAGUUGGUGUCACAACUCCAUACCGCUUCUUUCAUCUCCUCCAUCAUGAAAGAUAACUCGAGUUUCACUGCAUCUCCCUCGAAUAUUUCCUAAGCUUCAAAUCCAUAACCAUGAUCCAUUUUCUCGAUGAGCAGCUAAAGUAAUUACUAAACAAAUUUAACAUUUUUUCCUUCAAUAACUUUGUGUCAUUGCACCAUGAAUCCCCAAAUUUUAAGCAAUGCCCCAUCUUCUUGAAUUGCAAUUGAAAAAACAACUUUCAAGAUAUUUUUUUAUACUGUAAAUAUUAACUAUGUUUAAAUCUUGAUAUACACCAAGAGGAGGGAUGGAUUGAUGUUUUAAAAUUUUGGAAAAAAAUAUGGCAAAGGAAAAUCAACAUAAGGAUUUAUAGUGGUUCGAGCCCUAUUGUCUAGCUCCACUACCUUAACUUACCACAACUAAAGAUUUUUCCAAAUUCACUAAUUUGAAAAUUUCAAGGACAAUGUUUAACCUUUAAAAUCACUAUAUUUUAAGUAGGCAAGAUAGAGCUACUUCCCCUUAGGGAUUUCUACCGAAAACCUUAAGUAAACCCUCACAAAGAUAAGAAAUAAAUUAUAAACAAAGGAUACCUCUUAAAGACUAAUUUACAACAAUAUAGGCCACUCAAAUGAUUUUACAUCACUUGAAAGAUUUAAAGAAAUAAUUACACAAGUGGGUGCAUGAGAAAACAUGAGAAAAAAUACAAUAAAAAGAUUUUAAUUAUGCACAAUAAACUUUGUAAGCUUGUUUAUUAUCUUGUUUUGAGUGUUCUUGAGCUCUAUUUAUAUCCUCUUGAUGAUUUGUAGUCGUUAGAGACAUUAAUUUGAGCAUUAAAUGCAAUUGGAGGGGCAUAAGUAUUGGUACAUUGGUCUUUGGAGUCCGAUUCCUCCCUUAAAAAUAUGAUAGUUGAACCCGUGAGUAUCGCAUCAAAGACGGAAAGGGUUCAAUACCUCAUUAGUGUAGCUAUUAGAGAAAUUAUUGUUUCCUCUCUUUUCUUUCGAUUUUACUUUAUUUCUAGUUUUUUAUUUUACAACUUAUACAACAACAUUUUACUUUCCUCUAAAAUGUCUCAUGACAUUUUACAUGCCAUGUAAUAGUUAAAUUAAGGGCUUGAAUAAUGGCAAUGCUUGAUUGAUUUAACAUAGAUAGUUUUGAGAUGGAAUUAGAAUGUUUUAAAAUUUGGGACCACUUUAAAAUGAGAGACAUAGUUUGAGCAUUGUGGAGCAAUUUAAUCAAAAUUUUACGAAUAAUUUAUGAAAAGAGAAAAAUAUCAAAUUUAUACAUGAACUUUGGUCCAAUGUGUAAUUUGAUACAUGAACUUUAAUUAUACACCUAGACCUCGAAUUGUGGUUCAAAUAUAUAAAUGAAAGUUUGAUUUUGAUACAAUUAACACAUUUAAAAAAUGAAUGCAUACAUUUAUUUUCAUAAGUAUGGCAUUACACAUUAGAUCAAAAUUCUUGUAUGCUUUUAUAUUUAUACCAUUAGUAAUGAUAUAAAAAGAAAUCAGUUUUAUCUAUUUUUGGCCAUUCUAAUAAUUAACAUACACCAAAAUUAAUUUUCAAUAAUUAUAUGAUUGCUGAACUUAAAAAUCGUAAGAUUAGUGGCUAAGUUUAAAAUUAAAAGAGAAUUAAUUGCCAUUAGAUACGGUAAUUUACUAUUAUUAAUACACUAAUCAUGAUUACAAACAUAUUGCAUCUCUCCAUUCUUAAUCACAUUUUUUUCUCUGUUUUCUUUUAAAAAAUAUUUCUCGCUUAAUAAACACAGAUACCAUAUUUUGAAACAAAAAUGGCACGCCAACUUGUUGUUCUUGCUUUGAUUUUGAUUGUCCUCACCGGCGUGGUUUCUGCCGACACCUCAUCCGCCGGUGGUAGCCCUGCAAGUGCACCAGCUGGAGCUUCUACAGGUGGCAGUGCUGCUAGUUCCUCCCCUACUUCUCAGCCUACCACUCCAAGUCUUAGCGGUGAUAUCCCUAUUGAUGAUCCAUAGAAUGAUUGUCAAGGAAAUGCCGACAAAUCAUUAAACAAAUUGCCAUUUAAAAACAUGGUG
rnacentral:lncRNA from 1 species